AGAGUUUGAUCCUGGCUCAGGAUGAACGCUGGCGGCGUGCUUAACACAUGCAAGUCGAACGAACCUUCGGGUUAGUGGCGGACGGGUGAGUAACGCGUGAGAAUCUGCCCUCAGGAGGGGGAUAACGGUUGGAAACGACCGCUAAUACCCCAUAUGCCGAAAGGUGAAAUGAAUUUCGCCUGAGGAUGAGCUCGCGUCUGAUUAGCUAGUUGGUGAGGUAAUGGCUCACCAAGGCUUCGAUCAGUAGCUGGUCUGAGAGGAUGAUCAGCCACACUGGGACUGAGACACGGCCCAGACUCCUACGGGAGGCAGCAGUGGGGAAUUUUACGCAAUGGGCGAAAGCCUGACGUAGCAACGCCGCGUGAGGGACGAAGGCCUCUGGGCUGUAAACCUCUUUUCUCAAGGAAGAAGAUAUGACGGUACUUGAGGAAUAAGCCACGGCUAAUUCCGUGCCAGCAGCCGCGGUAAUACGGGAGUGGCAAGCGUUAUCCGGAAUUAUUGGGCGUAAAGCGUCCGCAGGCGGCCUUUCAAGUCUGCUGUUAAAGCGUGGAGCUUAACUCCAUCAUGGCAGUGGAAACUGAUAGGCUUGAGUAUGGUAGGGGCAGAGGGAAUUCCCGGUGUAGCGGUGAAAUGCGUAGAUAUCGGGAAGAACACCAGUGGCGAAGGCGCUCUGCUGGGCCAUUACUGACGCUCAUGGACGAAAGCCAGGGGAGCGAAAGGGAUUAGAUACCCCUGUAGUCCUGGCCGUAAACGAUGAACACUAGGUGUCGGGGGAAUCGACCCCUUCGGUGUCGUAGCUAACGCGUUAAGUGUUCCGCCUGGGGAGUACGCACGCAAGUGUGAAACUCAAAGGAAUUGACGGGGGCCCGCACAAGCGGUGGAGUAUGUGGUUUAAUUCGAUGCAACGCGAAGAACCUUACCAGGGUUUGACAUCCUGCGAACCUCUUAGAAAUUUGAGGGUGCCUUCGGGAAUGCAGUGACAGGUGGUGCAUGGCUGUCGUCAGCUCGUGUCGUGAGAUGUUGGGUUAAGUCCCGCAACGAGCGCAACCCACGUUUUUAGUUGCCAGCAUUUAGUUGGGCACUCUAGAAAGACCGCCGGUGAUAAACCGGAGGAAGGUGUGGAUGACGUCAAGUCAUCAUGCCCCUUACACCCUGGGCUACACACGUACUACAAUGCUACGGACAAAGGGCAGCAAACUCGCGAGAGCUAGCAAAUCCCAUAAACCGUGGCUCAGUUCAGAUCGUAGGCUGCAACUCGCCUACGUGAAGUAGGAAUCGCUAGUAAUCGCAGGUCAGCAUACUGCGGUGAAUACGUUCCCGGGCCUUGUACACACCGCCCGUCACACCAUGGAAGUUGGCCAUGCCCGAAGUCGUUACUCCAACCCUUGUGGAGGAGGACGCCGAAGGUGGGGCUAAUGACUGGGGUGAAGUCGUAACAAGGUAGCCGUACCGGAAGGUGCGGCUG
rnacentral:rRNA from 1 species